CCCUUAGAUGUUCUGGGCGGCCCGCGCACUACAAUGGCGUGUGCAGCGAGUGCCGAAGUAGAGUUUUCCGAGGUAUUCUUGCAAUGCUCGUUUUGAUGGGGAUAGACCCUUGCAACUGUUGGUUUUGAACGAGGAAUUCCUUGUAAGCAUGGUUUAUCAUCCGACGCUGAAUACGUCCCUGCCCUUUGUACACACCGCCCGUCGCUCCUACCGAUUGAGUGGUCCGGUGAGGCUUUGGGAUCUGAGCGGAAAGAGCGUUUCGCUGUUUCUGCUCGGAAAACUCAGUCGAACCUUAUCAUUUAGAGGAAGGAGAAGUCGUAACA
rnacentral:rRNA from 1 species